rnacentral:rRNA from 1 species
CACGUAGGGCGCAAGCGUUGUCCGGAAUUAUUGGGCGUAAAGAGCUCGUAGGCGGUCCGUCACGUCCGCUGUGAAAACCCAGGGCUCAACCCUGGGCUUGCAGUGGAUACGGGCAGACUAGAGGUAGGUAGGGGAGAAUGGAAUUCCCGGUGUAGCGGUGAAAUGCGCAGAUAUCGGGAGGAACACCGGUGGCGAAGGCGGUUCUCUGGACAGUUCCUGACGCUGAGGCACGAAGGUCAGGGGAGCAAACGGG